rnacentral:rRNA from 1 species
GAUGAACGCUGGCGGCGUGCCUAAUACAUGCAAGUCGAGCGAACGGACGAGAAGCUUGCUUCUCUGAUGUUAGCGGCGGACGGGUGAGUAACACGUGGAUAACCUACCUAUACGACUGGGAUAACUUCGGGAAACCGGAGCUAAUACCGGAUAAUAUUUUGAACCGCAUGGUUCAAAAGUGAAAGACGGUCUUGCUGUCACUUAUAGAUGGAUCCGCGCUGCAUUAGCUAGUUGGGAAGGUAAAGGCUUACCAAGGCUACGAUGCAUAACCGACCUCAGAGGGAGGACGCACAGCCGGGAUGUGAGGAUCGGUCGAGACACCGAGAGGAGGCAGCAGCAGGGAAUCUUACGCGAUGCGGGAGAGGCGGACGGAGCAACGUGGCGGGAGUGAUGAAGGACUUCAGAUGGGAAAACGCUGAAAGUAGGAGAGAACAAAUGCGUAAGUAACUGGGAUGAUAAUGACGGUACCGAGUCAAAAAGCCCCGGCUAACUACGUG